rnacentral:rRNA from 1 species
UGGCGGACGGGUGAGUAACGCGUGGGUAACCUGCCUCACACAGGGGGAUAACAGCUGGAAACGGCUGCUAAUACCGCAUAUCCCGAUAGUACCGCAUGGUACAGACGGAAAAGAUUUAUCGGUGUGAGAUGGACCCGCGUCUGAUUAGCUAGUUGGAGGGGUAACGGCCCACCAAGGCGACGAUCAGUAGCCGACUUGAGAGAGUGAUCGGCCACAUUGGGACUGAGACACGGCCCAAACUCCUACAGGAGGCAGCAGUGGGGAAUAUUGCACAAUGGGGGAAACCCUGAUGCAGCGACGCCGCGUGAGUGAAGAAGUAUUUCGGUAUGUAAAGCUCUAUCAGCAGGGAAGAUAAUGACGGUACCUGACUAAGAAGCCCCGGCUAACUACGUGCCAGCAGCCGCGGUAAU